AGGAAUGAGGGAUGACAGAGACUGAUUUAGAGCAGCAAAUGCAGUGAGGCCUGGUGGAGCCAUACAAGCUGCUGUGGCAGGUUAGAUGCCAUUCAAAAUGUCAAAGGAGCCAUCAGAGUCCCCUAAGUGGAUCUGCUUCACAUGACAAGGGUCAAGCUGGUUAAAAUUGGCAUCCAUGGGCCAAGGUGGAGGCAGGGAGAUUAGGCUGCAGCUAUGAAGGCCCCAACGACAGAGGCUGCAGCCAGGUGGCAGUGGGCGGUGACCAGAGUGGACAACAAAGCUUUUCAGCUUUGGGGCACCCACACAUACCUGUUUCCUCUGCAGAUACCUGAGCUAUCUACCUGGUGUCCUUCUUAACAACUGUAUUCUUUUUCUUUUCGAAAGUUAGACUCUGGGAACUAGAUCUGUGAUAGAAAUGUACCUUGUGCCUUGUGCCUUGUGCCACAGGGUUGUGGGGAUUGACAUUUGAUCUCCACCUCUCCCAAGAGCUUCUCUUACAGCCUCUGGCCCUGCCAUACAUUAUGCACAUUUUCAUGCAUUUAAGGAUAUUUUUAGGACUGCAGUACUAGAAAUGCUUUGAUCUUUUCCUGAAAAUUUUCCAUGCAAUUUAGCAAGCCCCCUUCUAACCCAGACCUAAACCUUGGAAAUGCAGGGGCUGUCUUAGUCUUUUCUAUUGUUAUAACCAGACACCUAUGCCUUAGAAUUUAUAAAGGAAAGAGGUUUACUUUGGUUCAAGGUUCUGGUGGCCAGAAGCCCAAGACUUGGUGGUUAAGUCUGGUGAGGCCUUGUGCUAUUUCAUAAUUCAGUAGGCAUCCAAAGGCCAGAAGGGCACUUCUGCUUUGUAACAACUCACUCCUGUGAGAACAAACCCACCCCUGAAGGAAAAGCCCUAAUCCCUCUAAUGCUGUAAUCACCACUGUGCCAAACAUAGCUCAACAUGAGCUUUGGAGGGGACAGAUCACAUUCAAUCAUAGUUAUGCCUCUCUGUAAUUUUUUUUUCUCUUUGAAGUGUUGGGGCUCAAACUCAGGGCCUUGCACCUGCCAGGCAUGCACUGUACCACUGAGCUACACCCCAGCCCAUAGCAAAGGUUUUCUUUCAUCUUCCAGGAAUGCCAGAAGGAGUCCUCAACCCCCAUGGGUUUUAGUUGGAAUAGACCCCUGGAAUGUAAGGCAGACAAAGCACAUAAACAUAGAAGUUAUCAUGUACAUUUCACACAGACCUGGGAGGCAUCCAGAGAAGGAGUAG
rnacentral:lncRNA from 1 species